AUACGGAGGAUCCGAGCGUUAUCCGGAUUUAUUGGGUUUAAAGGGUGCGCAGGCGGGAGAUUAAGUCGGCGGUGAAAUUUUGCAGCUCAACUGUAAAAGGGCCUUCGAAACUGGUUUCCUUGAGUGUAGAUGAAGUAGGCGGAAUUUGUGGUGUAGCGGUGAAAUGCAUAGAUAUCACGAGGAACUCCGAUUGCGCAGGCAGCUUACUAAACUACUACUGACGCUCAGGCACGAAGGCGUGGGGAUCAAACAGGAUUAGAUACCCUGGUAGUCCACGCAGUAGACGAUGAUUACUAGCUGUUUGCGAUACAAUGUAAGCGGCUGAGCGAAAGCGUUAAGUAAUCCACCUGGGGAGUACGUUCGCAAGAAUGAAACUUAAAGGAAUUGACGGGG
rnacentral:rRNA from 1 species